rnacentral:tRNA from 1 species
AUUUAUUUAGUACAAGAAAUAUAACUGACUUCCAAUCAGUAGAUCUAUAUUAUAGAAUAAAUA